rnacentral:lncRNA from 1 species
CUCAGUCCGAUAAAGAGAGUGUGAAGCUUCUCACUGUUAAGACAAUUUCUCAUGAGUCUGGUGAACACUCUGCACAAGGAAAAACCAAGAACUGACAGCUUGAUGGAUCCUCUCCACACCUGGGCAAUAAAUAUGCUUACUCUUCAGCUUCUGUGCUCCAGAGGUAGAAAGGGAGAAAGCCCUGUGGAUUCAAUCCUGACUUCCAACCCUGCUCGCCAGUGUGCACCAGUCACCUGUCCCAAUAAAGUGAUGUCCAGAUGACACGCAAUAAUAGAAGAGAAUCGGAAACCAUCCUCGGCCUCUCCUGUCCUUUAAGAUGUGAAAAAACACAUUACCACAUUUUAUAGGAACAUUCCUAGGGGAGGGAAUUUUAGGAGGGGCAUCUGUGAGCAGGUAACCUGACAGCCCAGGCAGGUGGCUUCACUGAUGAAAUGACUGUCCCUUGAGUUUAAAGUUUUCAGAACUAACAUUUCUUAUCCACAGAGACUUUCCUACUUUCUCAGUGUUCUUUUGUUACCUAACGUUUGUAUUUAUUGUUUUCCACUAUGUUAAUGCAGGGAACAUUUGCAAGUGUAUUAAAUAUUGGGUCGAAAUCCUGCCAUGCCACUUUGUACAUAAAGAUAUUUUAUUCAUGCUUCC